rnacentral:misc_RNA from 1 species
AAGUCGUAACAAGGUUUCCGUAGGUGAACCUGCGGAAGGAUCAUUAACACGUAUCCAACGUUAAACAACCCUGUGAACUUUCAACGCUCUUGUAUCCCGGUAAAUCAGUGGGCGGAAAGUUUUGAUUCGGGACCUCUGUCCAAAAGUUACAAUCGAGCUAGGAGCAGUGGCAUGGUUUCCCUAAGCAGUGCAGAAGGAUCCACUGAGUAAGGAUAACGCAUCACGGUUGCCAGAGGUCGAUCACCGGCCGGCAGACAUGUCACAGGGCUAUAUGCCCCUUCAUUCACACCUUGCUCUCUCAUGCCCGCCGGAAACGCCGGGCACAAAAACCGAACAACUGUUAACAAUGGAUAUCUUGGUUCUC